UACGGAGGGUGCGAGCGUUAAUCGGAAUUACUGGGCGUAAAGCGUGCGUAGGCGGUUUGAUAAGCCAGAUGUGAAAUCCCGGGGCUUAACCUCGGAACUGCAUUUGGAACUGUUUGACUAGAGUACUGUAGAGGGUGGUGGAAUUUCCAGUGUAGCGGUGAAAUGCGUAGAGAUUGGAAGGAACAUCAGUGGCGAAGGCGGCCACCUGGACAGAUACUGACGCUGAGGCACGAAAGCGUGGGGAGCGAACAGG
rnacentral:rRNA from 1 species